UAAUUUCUGAUUCCACGGUUAACAUUUUCCCUGUGUGUACUGACAACUGUCUCAGCGAUGAGGAGGAAGCCCAUUGAGAUCUCCCAGUCCAUUUGCUUUUAUCUGCCCUGUGAUCUGUCAGCAUCCUCCUUGCUCCUCAACGGGAGAAGGCAGAUUUGUCUUGGACACCAUGAUGGACCUAUAAGAAGAAGAUACAGCAGUGUCCUCAGAACCCUUCCUAAAAAGGCAAUCAAAAGCCCCGUCAAAAGCCCAACUCAGCUGGAAUGGAAAUGGAAAUGCAAAGACAGCGUGUCCUCUAGACUGGAUGAUUCACCCGUUGGAAACUAUCUCGGGCUCCCAAGAUAAUUGUGGAAUGUCAGUUCACUGCACAGAGUGCAAGUUCAGCACGGAAGGGUAUGAGACAUGAACUUCACAAGGAGGCAAAAGUUAAAAGAAGUCAAGUUCAAUUACAGGAGGGAGUCUCCAAUUCCCAAGCUGGUAUACAAGGAAAGGGUCUUCCCUGCCCCCAAGCUGGUAAACACGAGAGAAAAGGAGUGCUGACCUAACCAUCUUACUCUUCAAGAUUUCUAAGAUGUUACAGUCUGCCUCUAAGUUCACACACACACACACACACACACACACACACACACACACACAAAAGGAAUUAACCUGCAUUAUUUUCUCACAGAUUAACAUAGAAACACCACCUGUCUAAAAAACUACAUUGUGCUGAUGAUAAGUUAAAACCCAAAUAUUCUUGGAACCAAGAACGUGAUUUUAGAAGGUUAUAGAUUAUGAUCAACGUGAGGGGAUUCUUGACUUUCAGUUUUGGAGGAAAUCGGCUAAUUACACCAGCUGAGAGCAGAAUGUUUUGGUCACUUCAGUACUUAGAAUCCCCUGACAAGGAAGUUAGAAGUUUCAGGGAACUGUGAGAAUCUCUAAAGAGAAGCACUUUCAUGUUGCCUUGUGUGGAUCCUAAGUUAGAAAACUGCUACAAUGCAGCUGCAAAGAGUGAGUGAGACACAUGCGCAGAGCCCUGGAUGGAAGCAUGUCAGCAGCUCAGGUCCCAUCACCAAGGGGCCUGGCUUAAUGUCACAUUUUCUUUAAUCUCCGUAGCCCAUAGACUUGAUUGGCUCUCGACAUUAUACUUCCUUCUGUUUUGAUAUUAAACCUACCACACUUGAUGUGGGUCA